CUGGUUCUGGGGAUGGGGAGAGAAGUCAGGCAGGGAGGGAGAACUGCUUCCACCUUCCACCGCAGCCGCUGCCUCAGCAGCUGGUCCAUUGCGCCUGCCGCUUCAGGCCGCCCUACAGUCCACCACCAGCUAGCUUAGCACAACUCUGGUGAAGAGACUGAAAGAACGGGUAUUUUCCUGUGCCUUAUUCUCUCUGCUCUGAAAAGAAGAUCCAAGCAUUUUUAAUUAUAAGAGGGUGGGGGCUUCCUUCAAUAAACCGAAGCCAUGUACGUGGGUUUGCAAAGAAUCCUUCCCUUCUCUGAAUCAGGCUGAAAGGUUAAGGUGGAGGGCACGGGAAGGCAGUCAGGAUGUCGUGUACAAGGCUGCACUGACAGUCACAAGGACCCAAAGAACUCAGGCAUCCUGUUUCCAAUCCCCCGAGCAUAUGUGGGAGCUUCAAGAUAUGCCACGCGUAUGUGUGAGGAGAUAAAGGUGGAAAAGGAACGAAUUGUUUAUUCAUGUCCUACCCACUCGCUCUGCCCUCUCCCCAUGCCAGCCCUAACUGGGAUUUCUUGUCCUGGGCACUCCAGGCACAAGAGCCCACACAGAUAACAGCAUCAGACACUGCUAUCAUCCAAAGCUUGGGAUGGCGGACAGAGUAAGGAAUCCCAGAAUUGCACUGCACUGCCUGCCGGAGAGACUUUGCCCUUUGCCCCGUGAUGAGGUGUUAUGAUGGGCUGGAGAGCCAAGCAGCAGGGCCUCUGUGCUUGGAGAAUCCAUGCAAGGAGGCAUUAUAAACCAAGGCGCAACAACACCCCUUCCCUUGAUGCUCCCACAUUUCAAGGAGGAGCUACAGCCCUCCAAGGAAUUAUUCAAGACUCCAAAAGUACAAAGAUAAAAGGGUCCAGGUCUUGGAGCCCUACCUGGUGUCCUCUAAAAUGUCAUUUUAUUUUUUAUUUUAUAUGCAUUGAUGUUUUGUCUGCAUGUAUGUCUGAGUGAGGGUGUCAGAUGUUUAAGUUAUAGACAGCUGUGAAACCACGUGGGUGCUGGGAAUCAAACAUGGGUCCCCUGAAGAGCAUUCAGUGCUCUUAACCACUGAGCCAUCUCUUAAGCCCCACUAGUGGCCUCUAAGCAGAGCCAACAGUCCAGGAAGCAGGCCUUUGGAUGGUGGAGUUUGUCCUUGCUGCUAAGUUGCUCGGAAACAGACCUCAGAGUUGCAAGAGUACUGAACUGUCCAAAUGCACACACACACACACACACACACACACACACACACACACACACACAACCAGCAUCUGUCUUCCAUCUGUAUCCUGGACCUGCGACACCCCAUCACACCCAAAAGCAACCCGGAGAUUGUGUUAGAAGCCAGAUGCUGGGAGUGGGGAAGAUGGCAGCCCUGUGACUGUGCAUCAGUAGGUGUAGGACCCACAUUCCUGGUACCUAGGGCUCCUGGUCCUUUGCUUUCUAAACAUAUUUCUUGCAGGUUAUGUAGAUGGUGCUUAUUGGCACCUGCAGAGAUAGCCUAGGAAAGGCUGAAGGAGGCUCUGGGACACCCAGCUGAUGCCUUUGCCAUGGAUCGGUCCCAGACCACCUGCUCUUCCUUGAGACUUGGAAACCUCACUCCCUGUAGUAUAAACCCCUUGCUCUGCAUGCAGCCAGCUUGCUCUGACUUCCUGUUUUCUGUGUCCACACAAUUGCCGUGGCCUGUAAGCACGCACUCACUAUGGUCUGUGAGCAUGAAGGCUGUCAUGGAGGGCCAGAAUUAAUGUAGUUCAGACCCCAGAACCCUCAAAAGGGAGCCUCAGCUCUUGGCCUCUCAAGACUCCACUUUUCUGGCACCCACAGUUCCCGGUUCCUCAGUUUCUAAACCUGCUCCUUGUAGGUUCCACAGAUGCUAGCUGUAAGGCAGCUGCAGAGGGAGUAUGGGGAAGACCUAAGGGGUUUGGGGAAGGACUCCCAUGCAGCUUCUCAGCAGAAGGGGUGUGGCCUUGGAAUUUGACCUCCCCAAGGAGCUGGCAAAGCUGUCAUUUUCUUUGAAGUUUGCAUCUCAGGUCAUAGGGCCCUCAGUCCCUUUCUACCAGCCGUGAGAACCACCCUCAUAUCACCAGACAAGGCCAGUCUGGGGACAAUGGGGGUCUGUCAGAGUGUUCCUGAGGCUUCAGCUCAGGUGUCCGUCUAGGCAGCUGUUAGCCUCCUCUUGCCCUAUUCCGUUCUCCACCAGGGUCCGUCCCCUUUUACAUUCACAAACCUGUUCCUGCCUAGCCACAAGUUCUUCUAUCCCUUCCUCCGCCUGGGUAUCUAAAUGCUUCUCCAGCACAGUGACUUUGUUUUGUGACAUACACUCUAGGUUUUGUUGUUGUUGAUGAUUUUUUUGUUAGUUUGGUUUUUGUUUUGUUUUGUUUUGUUUUGUUUUGAGGCAGGGUCUCUCUACAUAGCCCUGGCUGUCCUAGAACUCUCUAUGUAGAACAGCCUGGCUUUGAACUCACAGAGAUUCACCUACUUCUACCUCCCGAGUGCUGGGAUUCAUGCACUUUGGAGAAACCAUCCUGAACUGUGCCUGGUGGUGCACGCCUUUAAUCCCAACACAGGAAAGGCAGAGGCAGGUGGAUCUCUGUGAGCUCCGGGCCAAGCCAAGCUGCCUUACAUUAGCGGUUUCAGAUCAGCUAGGGCUGUACAGUGAGACAUCAUUUAAAAAAAAAAAUCCUUGGCUAUAUGAUGGAUCACUGUGGAAGAGAAGGCCUGUUGAAGUUUGUGAGCUGGCACUCUCGGUAGGGUGUGUGUGUGUGUGUGUGUGUGUGUGUGUGUGUGUGUGUGUGUGUGUGUGAGAGAGAGAGAGAGAGAGAGAGAGAGAGAGAGAGAGAGAGGGAGGGAGGGAGAGAGACUGCACUAAGCGCCUGGUAAGAACCAAGACCCAGGCAUUUACAUUUCGAAGAUGAAAAGUCAAGGCAAAGAGACUUUAAGUGACUUCCCUAAGGUUGGCAAGGUGUGAGAGGAGGAACAGGCUGUUUACUGCAGUAAUUGAGAAGACAGGGGACCAAUGUUCUCAGCCGUGGCCACCAAGGCAGCUUCCCGAGGAGCUUUGGAGACCUUGAAGCCCAGACCAGUUAGCAUGUAGCUCAGUAGUAGAGCACUUGCCUGGGCCGCGCAAGGCCCUGGUACUAUGAAAAGGAAAAUAAGUCUGUAUUAGCACUUGAUCCUUCCAGCUCCUGCCCCCCUCCCCAUUCCCAGGCCUAUCAGACCCAACUUGGAAAGAAGAACAAGCCUAUUUGAUUUCUUCUAGAUCUUUCUUGGUGCCUAAACCCUGGACCAGACUGGUUACCCCAAAGCAGUAAACAGCCCUGGCAUCCCAUGGAUAUGGUCCAGGCUGGGGAGGGCUUGGCCUGCGAAGGCUUUUUGUCCUUUGCAAAAGUUGACCAGGCGGGAGAUGCCGGGUGCAGGGAUCUAAAGGGUUCUCCUGAAGCCAGAUGUGCUGAAACAUGUUCCGAGAGGUGGUGGUGGUAAAGGUGGGCUGUCGUCAUGGUUCUAGCCUGCAGGGGUGCUUCACACCGUACCCCAGUCUCAGAGUUUCCAAGGGGCAUUGGUGCUGAUGUGGAAGGAUGGAGUCUGGGGGGCGGGAGGGGGGAUCAUUAAACAGUACGUCCAGCGAGCACAUGGGGAUGCAUGUAUGCCUUUCCAGUGGAGUAGAAACUGAGGACAGCUCAGGAGGGAGUGACCGGUGGCCCAGGACUGGAUGAUCAGGGCUACAGGCACAGGAGGAAAGUUACUGUUUCCCCUAUUCAUGACUUCAAUUAGCACCUGUCACAUGGUAAGACCCAGCCACCAGGAUCUUCCUUCACCUGAAAAAAGGGUGCCCUGUGUAGAGGCUCAGACAAAGAAGUGGAGAAAGGAGGAAACGGGAUGGGAUCAAGCCCAGGACCCUGUGCAGGUUAGGCAAACAGCUUACUUUGUUUUGCUUGAGAUACAGUCGUCUCCUGUAGUCUGACCUCACACUUAUGAUCGGAAGAAGCCCAGUCCAGGCAAGGUUCAUGCAUUCUAAGGAAGCACAGUACAAACUUAGCCACAUCCCCAGCUCUAAUGUUUUGUUUUGUUUUGUUUUUUCUUUUUCUUUUUUUCGGAGCUGGGGACCGAACCCAGGACCUUGCGCUUGCUAGGCAAGUGCUCUACCACUGAGCUAAAUCCCCAACCCCAAUGUUUUGUUUUUAAGGAAGAUACACCUGCCGAAUUAUGCCGACCCAUGCCUAUAAUUCCAGCAUUUGGAAGACCGAGGCAGGAGGAUUGUCUGAGUUGCCAGCUUGGCCAAAGAGUAAGACUCGGUCCAUCAAAAAGACGUAAGUCUCUCUUGGGAAAGGCUGAAGACAGUCAAGCUGUCUCUGCUGCCAGAACUGGAGGACCAUGGAUGACGUGGGACCCUGCACGACGAUCAUGCACCUCGGGUGCGCGUCAGUGAUCUCUUACCACGGUCUCUGUGGAAAUUCAGUAAAAAUACACGUGGUGCUUGGCGUUAGCCUGGAACACAGCAUUCCAGAUGCACGCCUGUCAGGUGUCCCCUCUCUUUCCAACCCUUUCCAGUCAAGGGAGCCUUCUUGAUUUCACAAAUUGAAACUGUUGCAGUGCUGGCGUAGAGCAGAAGAGGGUGCGCUCCACACAGCCACCGAGUUUAGCAGGAUCCCUUAGCUGAGCCGGGUCCUGGCUGGGGACCGGCCCCGCCCCGUCCCUGGCUGCGGUCUGCAAGCGGGCGGGCGCAGGCGCACUGCUCUCAGCCAAGCGGCCUUCCUGCUUUGGGGGUGAGGGAAUUGGGCCUGCACCUACAGCCUCAACCAUUGAUUCCCCACUCAGCCUCAAGUUGAGCUAGUUACUAACACGCCCUGUUUGUCCUAAACCUCCUUGGCUCAGACCCCGGGCCGGUGGGGAGGCACCACUAGGGCGCUAGAUGUUGAUGAAAGAUCCCUCGUCCCCGUUGGCUGUCUCAGGUUCCACGCAGCGCCCCUUCCUUCGAGUGACCCUGCGGUUCCGGUGGAAUUUGGCAUAGCAGCGCAGCCCUGAGUGGAAGAAGGCAAGGGAGUCAGAACUGAGGGUGACUGUCCCCUCCCUUCUCCUCCAGCCUUCUCAGGCUUCUCAUCCUACAGCUCCUACACACACCGAAUCUGAAAAGACUUAAGAAACUGGGACAGGUCUGUACAGCAUCCCAACAGUUACACACAACCUCAUAAAUUUAGAAAAAAAGUUGAGCAUGGUGGCCCACUCUUUAAUCCCAGCAUUUGGGAGGCCCCAGAGGCAACCGGAUCUCUGACUGAGGCCAGCCUGGUGUACAGAGUGAGUUCCAGGACAGCCAGGGUUACACGGAGAAACCCUGUCUUGGGGAAAAACAACAAACAAACAAAAACAAAACAGAAGGCAUCCAUAGCAGCAAACAAAAGACCCUGUCUCUAGCAACGUAGAAGGCAGGGGCUGACACCUAGGAUUGCCCUCGACUCAACACAUGGGCCAGGCUCAUCGACACUCAAAUACAAGCACAUACAUAGAUCACACACAAACACUUCAAACUCACACUACACAAGCACGCCAUACGCGCAAACACAAGAAGUCUCUCUCGAACACCCUAAUUAACUUAAGUGUGGCCCUGCUGAUGCCAGUGGGUGGGUAUCCCGCCCAUGGCUCUGUUUAUCAGGGCUGUGUGAAUUAUUAUUACCUGAGGUGUGAAUAGAUGUUUUUUCAUUUAAGAUCAUAGUAGGCCCCACCCUCCUGAUAACAGGAAAGGAGCCAUCUCUGUGGCCCAAGAAACCUCUGCAUUUCAGGGUUGGAGUGACUGGGGGUGAGAGGACACCUCUGCUUCAAGAUCCACGUAUGUCAUCGGCUGCAGGGGGUGGGGGGUAAGAGGGGCUGCUGGGAAGUUUGUGAUUGGAAGCCUAGAGUGUGUUUUGAGACAAGGUCUCACGUAACCUAGGCUGGCCUCCCACUUGCUAUGUAGCUGAGGAUGACCUUGGCCUCCUGAUCCUCUGGUCUCCACAGCCAAAGCCCUGGGAUCACAGGUGUGCUACACUGAGCUUAGUUUUAUGUGGUGCUGGGUGAGUGACCCAAGGCUCUUCGUAACUAAGCAAGCACUCUGCCAGCUCAGCCAGAUUCCCAGCCCCAUGGCCCAGCACUUGGUCAAAGUGACACCGGAGGACCAGUUGCAGGAGCAGGAGUGUUAGGUGGCUACAGAAGCCCUUAGGAACUUCCAGGCUCUGCCGGCCAGGCCUGCUCUGGUCCCUUGAAGGUCCUUUCUGUGUGGCACCUGGAUAAACUCCCUUACUCUCUGGCCAUGUUUAAUGAGGUAUCCAAGCCCCAUAGCUUACAUUCUCCCCUUUGUCCCUGGAACCUGAGUGUCCAGGAAGAAGCAGGGGGUGGAACCAAUCAAUUUAAGGGGUCACGAUUAGGCCCUGGAUGUGGACACCUUGAGGACCUCUAGAAAGCAGUGUGAGCGGCUUGCCGUCUGAGGCCCACAGGGGAGGCUUUCCUCCUCAGAGCCUCCCACGGCCCCCUUACCAGGCCAACACGGAGGACUCAACGGCUCACCUGUACACUGCGAACUUGCCUGUGCUCUCACCACAGGCGACGGUGGCGUCUUAUAUCUCCUCACUCUGGUCUGUCUCUACCCUCUCUAAUCUCCCAGCCUGUCCCCUGUCCUCCACCGUCCCCAGUCCUGCAAUCAGAGAUAACUUUUUUUGUGGGGAACACAGGGUCUCAUGCAUUCCAGGCUGUCCACCUGUGAAUGGAGUUGAGAUCCCAAUCGCCCCUUAAUCUCUCAAGUGCUUAGAUUGUGCCCACACCCAAUUUCCACUGGCAAUGGAGCCCAGGGCCUAGUGUACGCAAGGUAACCUAAACAGAACUUCAUCUUCAGCCACAGAGCUAGACCAUGCGGCUUCCCUGCGUACAUGUGGGCCUGACUUCCAAUCACCAAUCAAACAAAAUCUAAACAAGGGCAACACGGUGUGGUUCUUCUGGAAACUUCUCUCAUCCUUCUCCAGGGGUCGGAGCCAGACCAGGCCAGGCCGUUCCUGCCCAAGGAACGGACCUCAGGAAUGGAGAAGGCACGGGCUCUUUUGUGGCUGGGAACUAGACUUGGAAUGUGACUCAGGUUCUCACAGCAGCUGGGAGAGGAUUUUGCCCUCAGAGCCCGGAAGGAAGGUUGGAUUCCGAUGGCCUGUCCAUUCUGAUACCUUGUAAUUUAAAAGGGUGAUUAUUUCUCAGAGCUGUGUGCCGAAAUAAACACUGUAUAAAUAAAUAAAGAUCGUAUGGAAACAAGG